rnacentral:rRNA from 1 species
GACGAACGCUGGCGGCGUGCCUAAUACAUGCAAGUAGAACGCAGUUGCGAACGGGUGAGUAACGCGUAGGUAACUGCCUCAUAGCGGGGGAUAACUUUUGGAAACGAUAGCUAAUACCGCAUACUGUGAGAUGGACCUGAGUUGUAUUAGCUAGUUGGUGAGGUAAAGGCUCACCAAGGCGACGAUACAUAGCCGACCUGAGAGGGUGAUCAGCGAGACUGGUACUGAGAAACGGCCCAGACUCCUACGGUAGGCAGCAGUAGGGAAUCUUCGGGAAUGGACGAAAGUCUGAUGGAGCAACGCCGCGUGAGUGAAGAAGGUUUUCGGAUCGUAAAACUCUGUUGUUAGGGAAGCGGUAUCUAACCAGAAAGCAACGGCUAACUACGUGCCAGCAGCCGCGGUAAUUC